UCCCUAACGCAGUGGCAGUAUCAUAGCCAAUGAGGUGAAACCGAGGCGUGAUUAUUGCUAAUUGUGAUGAAGCUGAAGCUUGAUGAAAGCGGAGGGGCUGUGUUCCCAUUAGGGAAGAGCUGCUGACUUAUUUUUUGUCAGGGGCUUCGCACAUGCUC
ensembl:snRNA U4 U4 spliceosomal RNA